rnacentral:rRNA from 1 species
GAUGAACGCUAGCGGGAGGCCUAACACAUGCAAGCCGAGCGGUAGAGUUUCUUCGGAAACUUGAGAGCGGCGCACGGGUGCGUAACACGUGUGCAACCUACCUUUAUCUGGGGGAUAGCCUUUCGAAAGGAAGAUUAAUACCCCAUAAUAUAAUGAUUGGCAUCAAUUAUUAUUGAAAACUCCGGUGGAUAGAGAUGGGCACGCGCAAGAUUAGAUAGUUGGUGAGGUAACGGCUCACCAAGUCAAUGAUCUUUAGGGGUCCUGAGAGGGAGAUCCCCCACACUGGUACUGAGACACGGACCAGACUCUUACGGGAGGCAGCAGUGAGGAAUAUUGGACAAUGGGUGAGAGCCUGAUCCAGCCAUCCCGCGUGAAGGAUGACGGUCCUAUGGAUUGUAAACUUCUUUUGUACAGGGAUAAACCUACCCUCGGGAGGGUAGCUGAAGGUACUGUACGAAUAAGCACCGGCUAACUCCGUG